CACAUCCAAGGAAGGCAGCAGGCGCGCAAAUUACCCAAUCCUGACUCAGGGAGGUAGUGACAAGAAAUAACAAUAAACCGGCUUAUGCCGGUUUAAUUGGAAUGAGUACAAUUUAAACAUCUUAACGAGGAACAAUUGGAGGGCAAGUCUGGUGCCAGCAGCCGCGGUAAUUCCAGCUCCAAUAGCGUAUACUAAAGUUGUUGCAGUUAAAAAGCUCGUAGUUGGAUUUCUGUGGGGACGGAGCGGCCGGCCGCAACACGCGGUUCGAGCUAGCGCUUUCCCUACAUCCUGCCGCGAACCGUGCUACCAUUAGUUUGGUGGCGCCGGGGAUCGGCUCGAUUACUUUGAGAAAAAUAGAGUGUUCAAAGCAGGCCACACGCCUUGAAUAAGUUAGCAUGGAAUAAUAACUAAGGACUUUGGUUCUAUUUUGUUGGUUUCUAGGACCGAAGUAAUGAUUAAUAGGGAUAGUUGGGGGCAUUAGUAUUUAAUUGUCAGAGGUGAAAUUCUUGGAUUUAUGAAAGACUAACAUCUGCGAAAGCAUUUGCCAAGGGUGUUUUCAUUGAUCAAGAACGAAAGUUAGGGGAUCGAAGACGAUCAGAUACCGUCGUAGUCUCAACUAUAAACUAUACCAGCUAGGGAUCGGCCAACGUUAUUUUAUACCGACUUGGUCGGCACCUUAUGAGAAAUCAAAGAUUAUGGGUUCAGGGGGGAGUACAUUCGCAAGGCUGAAACUUAAAGGAAUUGACGGAAUGACACCACAAGGCGUGGAGUAUGCGGCUUAAUUUGACUCAACACGGGAAAACUUACCAGGUCCAGACAUAGUAAGGAUUGACAGAUUGAUAGCUCUUUCUUGAUUCUGUGGGUGGUGGUGCAUGGCCGUUCUUAGUUGGUGGAGUGAUUUGUCUGGUUAAUUCCGUUAACGAACGAGACCCCAGCCUGCUAAAUAGCGCGCGUGAGCUUUGCUCGCGGCGAGCUUCUUAGAGGGACUCUGAUGCGCGAUAGCACAUGGAAGUUUGGGGCAAUAACAGGUCUGUGAUGCCCUUAGAUGUUCUGGGCCGCACACGGGCUACACUGGCGCCUGCAUCGAGCAUAUCAGCUGGCCCGAGAGGGUCUUGGCUAAUCUUUUGAACCGGCGCCGUGCUUGGGAUUGACCUUUGCAAUUGUUGGUCAUGCAACGAGGAAUGCCUUGUAAACGCGAGUCAUCAGCUCGCAUUGAAUACGUCCCUGCCCUUUGUACACACCGCCCGUCGCUCCUACCGAUGAAUGUUCCGAUGAAAUUUUCGGAGAGUGCCUGUGAACUUGGCUCUGCCUUGCGAACGGGAAGCUCAAAGUCACUUAAAUCUGAACAUUUCGAGG
rnacentral:rRNA from 1 species